rnacentral:precursor_RNA from 10 species
ACAAAGCCACAGACAGAGAGACGGCGAUCAACCCUGGACUCUCUGGCACGCAGUGUCAUUUGCUAUGUCUGUGUGAAAGUGAGGCCAGUGUGGUUCAUCGUCUCAACGCACAACACUAUACAAU